rnacentral:rRNA from 1 species
UGCAAGUCGAACGAAGUAGCAACACUUAGUGGCAGACGGGUGAGUAACAUGUAGGUAUCUACCCUAUGGCCUGGAAUAACACGAGGAAACUUGUGCUAAUACCGGAUAAGUUUUUACAGAGAAAGCUUUAUGCACCAUUGGAUGAGCCUGCACUUGAUUAGUUUGUUGGUGGGGUAAUGGCCUACCAAGACUGUGAUCAAUAGCUGAUUUGAGAGGAUGAUCAGCCACAUUGGGACUGAGACACGGCCCAAACUCCUACGGGAGGCAGCAGUGGGGAAUCUUGCACAAUGGAGGAAACUCUGAUGCAGCGAUGCCGCGUGAGUGAAGAAGGCCUUUGGGUUGUAAAGCUCUUUCGUCGGGGAAGAAAAUGACUGUACCCGAAUAAGAAGGUCCGGCUAACUUCGUGACAGCAGCCGCGGUAAUACGAAGGGACCUAGCGUAGUUCGGAAUUACUGGGCUUAAAGAGUUCGUAGGUGGUUGAAAAAGUUGGUGGUGAAAUCCCAGAGCUUAACUCUGGAACUGCCAUCAAAACUUUUCAGCUAGAGUAUGAUAGAGGAAAGCAGAAUUUCUAGUGUAGAGGUGAAAUUCGUAGAUAUUAGAAAGAAUACCAAUUGCGAAGGCAGCUUUCUGGAUCAUUACUGACACUGAGGAACGAAAGCAUGGGUAGCGAAGAGGAUUAGAUACCCUCGUAGUCCAUGCCGUAAACGAUGUGUGUUAGACGUUGGAAAUUUAUUUUCAGUGUCGCAGCGAAAGCGAUAAACACACCGCCUGGGGAGUACGACCGCAAGGUUAAAACUCAAUGAAUUGACGGGGACCCGCACAAGUAGUGAGUAUGUGGUUUACUUCGAGAUACGCGCAGAACCUUACCAACACUUGACAUGUUCGUCGCGACUUUAAGAGAU